GCAGUGACGCCGUUUGUCGCUGCCGCUUUCAGCUUGAAAGCCAAUAACACUGACAGAAGGAAUUUAUCGAUG
rnacentral:sRNA from 19 species